CAGCAGCUGCGGUAACACGUAGGGUGCAAGCGUUAAUCGGAAUUACUGGGCGUAAAGCGUGCGCAGGCGGUUAUAUAAGACAGAUGUGAAAUCCCCGGGCUCAACCUGGGAACUGCAUUUGUGACUGUAUAGCUAGAGUACGGCAGAGGGGGAUGGAAUUCCGCGUGUAGCAGUGAAAUGCGUAGAUAUGCGGAGGAACACCGAUGGCGAAGGCAAUCCCCUGGGCCUGUACUGACGCUCAUGCACGAAAGCGUGGGGAGCAAACAGGAUUAGAUACCCCUGUAGUCCCUGUCUCUUAUAC
rnacentral:rRNA from 1 species